UGAGGCUAAAGGACCAAAAAAAAAAAAAACAAACCACUGGAUUAAACAGGAGGAUGAGAGAAUAGAGGAUUCAAUUUUGAACGGACAUAGAUUCAUAAACAUGAAGAAAGUAACCAAACUUAAUCCCUGGAUCACUUAUGAGACAGAGGUUCAACACAGCAGGUUCUGUGACCCAGCCUGUGGACCCAGCCCUGCAGAGAAGCUGACCCCACAGCACCUAAAGCUCCUGAGAGAUGCGUUCACCAGGCCCAGACCUGCAGCACAGAAACAUGACAGAAUCAGAAAGAGCAGGAGAGCAGAUGUGGAGGAUGGAGUGAGGUUUGAAGAGUUCCAGCAGGUUCUAAGGACUGUGAUUGGUCCAGAUAUUGAGGACACGUGGGUGGACAGAUUUUUUUGUGAGGUAGACAUCAGCUGUUCAGGUCAGGUGACCUGGAAGCAGCUGUGUUCUUACCUCCUCCUGGAGUUCACUGAGAGAGAGAGAGCCUCCGUCCCCACAGCUGCUCUGCUGCAGCAGCCUCACGUCCAACACUGCUCUCACAACAAGCGAGAGACCACGGUACGCGUGGUGGCCGUUUCUUAUCCUCCUCCACUCCGUUACCUCAGUAUCAGUAAAGGGGGUCAGGUCACCAUGUGGAACAGCAGCCUGCACAUCCUGAGAAGUAUCGGGCUGGCUGGAGACAUGACAGAGGAAGUGGCCCACACCAGGAGGUUCAGAGGCUGGGUCACUGAUGUGGUCUACAUGGGCAGUGUCCACAGGGUUGCUGUUGCUACAGACAGCAGGGACCUGCACUUCAUCAAUGUCUCCACAGCCAACAUCUUUGAGGAGAUCCAUGUAUAUGGGUUCCGCAGUGUUCCCACAGCUCUUUGCUACUGGAACGAUGCUCAGUGUCCGGAUCGCCCUCCUCUGCUGAUGCUGGGGGAUGAAAAGGGUGGAGUUCAUCUGAUGUGGUUCCUGUACUCAUCGAAGGGACUCUUUGUGAAAACCUCCAAAAAACAGAACAGUUGUCAACGGCACUUUUUCCCAGACCUGUGUGAAAACACCAACAUCAUCUCCCACCGUUACAUCCCCAACAUCCACCUAGAGCCAAUCACCAAAGUAAUGUUUGAUCCCGGCAGCAACGUCAUCAUGACAUCGUCACAAAGUGACUGCAGCUCCGUGGUCUUCUUGAACUUGACACUAAAAAGGGAGCCGUAUGUUUGGAGAAUUAAUCAGGGUGUUAAAUGCUUUGACUACAGUGCAUCUCUGCAGCUGAUGGUCACAGGAGGUUCUGACCGAGCGGUCAGGUUCUGGAGCAGGUUUGUCACCACUCGUCCUGUAUCCACACUGCUGGGUCACUGCUCCACUGUACUGGAUGUUGCCAUCUACCAACCCAUGGAGCAGAUCUUUAGCUACUCCAGAGAUGCUGAGCUGAGGAUCUGGGACAUCUCUUCACAUCACUGCCUCAAAACUAUCCACCUCCAGUUCCCUUGUCUGCAGUUGGGUCGAAUCCCAGAACAUGGAAACUUCCCCUUCCUGCUCGUGGCUCCUCGUCGUCCUGCAGAGACGCAGCCUCAUCUGCUGGUGGCCUGCAAAGAUUAUCUGGCUCUGCUCAAACUGGCCAGAACCAGAGGAGGAAGAGGAGGUGAGUGGCUGACAGAUGAGGAUGGAGGACCAGGGUCAGAGAGUCCAAGCACUCCUGGUCUGUCCUGUGCCCUGUACAACCCCACCCUCAGACAGGUGGUGACAGGACACAUGGACUCCUCUGUGUCUCUGUGGGAGGUGGAGACAGGCAGAAGGAGGCUCCAGAUCGUGAAUGCUCAUGGAGAAGAGGAGCUGCUCUGCAUGACGCUGGACUCCACCCACAGACGACUCAUCACUGGGGCUGGAAACGGAACCAUCAAGGUGUGGAACCUUCUAAACGGUCUUAACCUGCACAAACUGGAGCCCGUCUCUAACAGUGAUGUCAGCAAGUUGAUCUGCCUCAAAGACAACAAGCUGCUGGCUGUGGGACGGAGCCGGCGUAUCGUUCAGUAUGACAUCGCAGCAGCAAAGGACAUGUACGUGAACGCAGAUCUGUCCUGGAAGUCCACUGCUGUCCAUCAGUCGGACGUCCUGGCAGUAUGCGAGUGUUCGGCUCUGGGGGUGGUGGCCACAGCUGACCAGGAUGGAGAGGUCAUCGUCUGGAGGGUGGACACUCAGGGGCCACUGCUUCACCUGCACACCCAGACACAGGCUGGAGUGUCGCCACCUGUGGACAACCUCUUGUUCCUGCAGCAUCGGGCUCAGAACAGGAAGCAGAGAAACAGAGGUGUGCUAGUUUCCUCCAGCGCUGGCAGCCUGUGCUUCUGGAGCAUCUGCGGAGCGGGGCACACAUACGGUCAGUUCUAUGCUCCAGAGCAGCCCCGUACACGAGUACUGAGUGUAAGCUCAGACCAGGCUAAAAACACCAUCCUGGUCUCUGGAGAUACAACAGGUUGGCUUCAGAUCUGGGACAUCACUGACUAUGCUGUGAAUGAAGGAGAACUGUUCAGCCAACAACCUCCUCUGCUGCAGCGAUGGAGGGCACAUAAGCAGGGAGUUGUGAAGGUGGAAGUUCUGGAGGUGGAAGAGGCUGAAAAGAUGAACGGUUCAUUCAUCUUUUCAGCCUCAGCUGACGGUUCUGCUGCUCUGUGGACCAAGGAUGGUGAUCUUGUCAGGUCUUUCGGACAGGAAGUGAUGUGGAAUCUUAUGGCUUCAGCCAAAUACCAGAGGGAGAUGGAGAGGGGUAGAGAGAUAAAGAUGAGGAGAGGGAGAGGGCUGUGAUGGAAUGGGUCCAACCUAAAGUCAGAUGUCACACCAAGCAUGCGGUUGUAAAGAUCCAACGAUGGCUCUGCAGAGAGUCAUUAGGAGCAACAUCAGCGACCCCUGGUGACCCGGUAGCUGUCUGCUAAUGAUGGUCAACAAACAUUUAUCAUCAUCAUUUACUGAUCCUGUUUCCCACAGUUCCAUCCCUCUUCCUCAGUAUCUCAGUAUCUGUGUGAGAAGACGCCUCAAUAAAGACACUGACUGCAA